rnacentral:lncRNA from 1 species
UUGCCUCCUAGAAAUUCUCUUAUAUGUACUUAAAAUAAUUAUUUGAUGAGGUUAUAUGUAUGACCAAAUUCAAUGACCAGUCUUGUCAGCAUUAGCAUCAUAUAUACUAAUAUACUCAUAAGCAGGUUGUUACACAUCGUUCUCUAUGGUUCAUCUUCCUCUCACCACCAGCAUUCCGUGAAAAUCAUCUGUCUCUCUAUUACUUUUUCAGUUUAUCAACAAACACACGCAAGCUCCUCUACCUCUCCAUUGUGACCAAUAAAGCCUCUAGAUAUAUCUCGCUUAAGAACAAUUUUCGCGCCUCA